rnacentral:rRNA from 1 species
AGAGUUUGAUCAUGGCUCAGAUUGAACGCUAGCGGGAUGCCUUACACAUGCAAGUCGAACGGCAGCACGGACUUCGGUCUGGUGGCGAGUGGCGAACGGGUGAGUAAUGUAUCGGAACGUGCCUAGUAGCGGGGGAUAACUACGCGAAAGCGUAGCUAAUACCGCAUACGCCCUAUGGGGGAAAGCAGGGGAUCGUAAGACCUUGCACUAUUAGAGCGGCCGAUAUCGGAUUAGCUAGUUGGUGGGGUAACGGCUCACCAAGGCGACGAUCCGUAGCUGGUUUGAGAGGACGACCAGCCACACUGGGACUGAGACACGGCCCAGACUCCUACGGGAGGCAGCAGUGGGGAAUUUUGGACAAUGGGGGAAACCCUGAUCCAGCCAUCCCGCGUGUGCGAUGAAGGCCUUCGGGUUGUAAACCUCUUUCAGCAGGGAAGAAGCGCAAGUGACGGUACCUGCAGAAGAAGCACCGGCUAACUACGUGCCAGCAGCCGCGGUAAUACGUAGGGUGCAAGCGUUGUCCGGAAUUAUUGGGCGUAAAGAGCUCGUAGGCGGCUUGUCGCGUCGGUUGUGAAAGCCCGGGGCUUAACCCUGGGUCUGCAGUCGAUACGGGCAGGCUAGAGUUCGGCAGGGGAGACUGGAAUUCCUGGUGUAGCGGUGAAAUGCGCAGAUAUCAGGAGGAACACCGGUGGCGAAGGCGGGUCUCUGGGCCGAUACUGACGCUGAGGAGCGAAAGC